rnacentral:lncRNA from 1 species
GUUAUAUUUAUGUGAAUUAAAAAAGCAGGGAGGUGUAGAAAACAAAUUUAAUUAACCGGACAAAAAUGGCGGAUCGAGCAGGUUAGGACCAACCGGAGAAUAAACACAUUAGCAACUACCCCACGUCUAGAGAAGGUACUUUGCCCUCCUACCAGGCUAUAGGAAUACAACAACAGAAUGGCUUUGUCCAGCCCUCAGUACCCUAUCAGUCGACUCAUGUGGUUUCUCAUCAGCCACAGCCAGUUAGGACUGCGAUUAUAUAGACUCGACCGCCUGACUACCUGGCAUCUUCUAUAUUUGCAUGUCUCUGUUGUUUUUGGCCUACAGGUCUGUUUGCAAUCUACUAUGCAAGUCAAGCCAACAUUCUGGCAGAUAAAGGACAUUACGAGGAAGCAAGAAGGAUGUCAAAUAUCGCCAGGAACCUAUUGAACAUCAGUAUUGUCCUCGGAUGCGUUUGCAUCAUUAUUGUGGCAGCUACACAGCUUUACUGACAGCGACUGCAGAUCUGUUCUUAUUUCAAUGGACGCACUUAUAUUAUCGCAAACUAUACUAAUGCUAAACUGUGUUUAUUCACUACAAAUGUAUUAUAAAAGUUGAAAAAGUAAGUCGUGUGAUUUUGAUAAAAGAUGAGUAAAGUUGAAGGAGUUGGAACUUUCCGAUUAAGACGUCAAAGGAUGUAAAUGACGUGCAAUGAUAUGAGCAGAUACUCUAGUCCAAAUGAAAUAAAGUUAUCAGCGGCUAGGCUUACAUUGUGCAUUGCUUGAAUAUCCCGGUGUUUUAUUGUGUCUUAUACCUGUCAUGUUAUAUUGGCAGGGCGAAUAAAUGACAACACAGUAACCAGCUCUUUUUCAUGCUGCCGAGUUGGCUCCAGGCGGGUGAGGACGCGACGACGCGACAAAAAUAAGUGCAAAUACAACAUGUUCUUAUCUGACACUCCAUUAGCUGGACAAUUUAUCGGCCACGUUAUUAUCCUCUGAAUCUGUUUUCUGGUAAAGUUUGUCGAGCUUUUAUGUGUUCGUAUUUUAGCCACGCCAACACGACACGGCAGAAAUCAGCAACCAUUGUAAUUAUCAGUCGGAAACCGAUAAUAACAUCCAAUCAUGUUUUGUUAUUCGUACAAAUAAUUUUCGCAGUUUGUACUACAGCGACUCUCAAUUUCUUUGAUUUGAGUGUUUAGGAGCUCUUGUGUGAAACUGCAAUAUAUAUUUACCUAAUCUGUGAAAAUAAAAUCAAUUCAUAUACCGCUAAAUGCUUCAAAGUUAACAUAAUUUUAUGCAAAUGUUCUAAUAAAGAAUUCUAUAGAAAGCGAAAA